GGGGACAGCCGGGGGACAGCGGUCAGGGAGGAUGGUGGCAUUGGGGACAAUGGGGGGACAGCCGGGGGACAGCGGUCAGAGGGGAUGGUGGCAUUGGGGACACGGCGGGACAGCGGUCAGGGAGGGUGGUGGCGCUGGGGACAGCGGUCAGGGAGGGUGGUGGCACUGGGGACACGGGGGACAGAGGUCAUAGGGGCUGGUGGCACUGGGGACAAUGGGGACAGCCGGGGGACAGUGGUCAGGGAGGGUGGUGGCACUGGGGACACGGGGGACAGCGGUCAGAGGGGCUGGUGGCACUGGGGACACAGGGGGACAGCGGUCAGAGAGGCUGGUGGCACUGGGGACAGAGGUCAGAGGGGCUGGUGGCACUGGGGACACAGGGGGACAGCCGGGGGACAGCGGUCAGAGAGGCUGGUGGCACUGGGGACACGGGGGACAGCGGUCAGGGAGGGUGGUGGCGCUGGGGACAGCGGUCAGAGGGGCUGGUGGCACUGGGGACACGGGGGACAGCCGGGGAACAGUGGUCAGGGAGGGUGGUGGCAUUGGGGACAUGGAGGGACAGCCGGGCAACAGCGGUCAGGGAGGGUGGUGGCAUUGGGGACAGCGGUCAGAGGGGAUGGUGGCACUGGGGACACGGGGGGACAAUGGGGGGACAGCGGUCAGGGAGGGUGGUGGCACUGGGGACACGGUUGGACAGAGGUCAGAGAGGCUGGUGGCACUGGGGACAGCGGUCAGAGGGGCUGGUGGCACUGGGGACACGGGGGGACAGCGGUCAGGCAGGGUGGUGGCAUUUGGGACAGCCGGGGGACACGGGGGACAGCGGUCAGGGAGGGUGGUGGCACUGGGGACAGCGGUCAGAGGGGAUGGUGGCACUGGUGGCACUGGGGACAGAGGUCAGGGAGGGUGGUGGCACUGGUGGCACUGGGGACAGCAGUCAGAGGGGAUGGUGGCACUGGUGGCACUGGGGACAGCGGUCAGAGGGGCUGGUGGCACUUGGGACACGCGUGGGGGUGGUGGUGAACGGGGGGGACAUGAUGGGGGCGCUGAGUGUCACCCUGGUU
rnacentral:lncRNA from 1 species